AGAUAUCGGGGAUCAUUUUUACAGGCCUUUGGUGUAACCGCGGGCAGUCCCCUCUGCUCGCUUGUUUUCAGCUGUCGCCCACCCCACCUCUAGAUCUGUGCACCUGGCCUGCCAACUUGUACGUGGAAGAAGGCAGAGGUUGUGGGGACAUGUAAAUUUGCUUUUUUGGAGAAUAACAGACUCCUAGUUUGGGCUACAGCUGGGACGGCCAGAGUCCCAAAAUGUAGCCCACAAUGUCUGAAACUGCAGUCUCUCCCCAGGCAGCAUGCCCACGUGACCCCUUUUGGCCGGGGGACCUUAGUGAGAGUCAGCUUGUGAUGGCUUCUGGGAGAGCGUCUGCCGUCACGGCAAAGGAGCCAACAUGGAUGGUGCCGCCUUCCCACCUCCUUCCUGCCUUGAACGCACAUUCCACCCAGCUCUGGCACCAUCUUGCAACCAUGAAAGAAAGGCAAGAAAUACACAGAGAUGUCAGCCCUGACAUUGCUGAGAUGGGAAAUUAUCAUUAGUGUCCGCCUCUGUCCUGUUACAUGU
ensembl:lncRNA